AAAGGGAGACCUAAUUCAGGUAUGGGACGAAAAAAAAGUAGUCCCUACCAAGAAUCAAUCCCAAAAGGUCGGAGCGAGGCGAAAUUGGCUUUCAAACUAGGUUCUGGGUUCAUAAAAGACCUGAAUCAGGAACAAGGGCUAUUAGCUCAGGUGGUUAGAGCGCACCCCUGAUAAGGGUGAGGUCCCUGGUUCGAGUCCAGGAUGGCCCACCUGCACAGGUGGCAAAAACAAGAGAAGCGAGGAAUCAGCACCUUAUCUUGUAUACAUAUAUAAGAGAGAAUGCUGGCUCUGAGUACAGAGUCCAGAGGAACCUUGAAAACUGCAUAGAGCUAGGUGAAAAAGCCAAAAAAGAAGACCGCAAG
rnacentral:tRNA from 1 species